rnacentral:rRNA from 1 species
GCUCCAAUAGCGUAUAUUUAAGUUGUUUGCAGUUAAAAAGCUCGUAGUUGGAUUUCGGGUGUGAACAACCGGUCCGUCUUUGAUGUGUACUGGUUGGUUGCGCCUUAUUGUCGAGGACGUGGUUCUGGCUUUCAUUAGCUGGGACACGGAGUCGGCAGCGUUACUUUGAGAAAAUUAGAGUGUUCAAAGCAGGCUAUCGC